UUUCCAACGCUACGCGGACGGCGGCGGCUCGAGGGGUUUGGCUGUCUCUUCUGUGGUGAGGAGCCACUAAAGGACUGUCAGCAGGAAAAUGAUCAGGACAAACAUGGAUGUAUUGGCUGGGUGAGCCAAUCCUCAGAGCAAGGAGACAAUGAAGAGACAUCGCCGAUGGUCGAAGUACAACAUGACAAAGCCCUUGACCAAGGCAGCAUUCGAGGUGAUGGAGAUAAAGGAUUAAAUGCAAGAGAUAUUUAGGUGACAUGUUUGAUAAGAUUUGGUGAAUGACUGAUAAUUGUCAUCCAGAUGACAUGGCAGUCUCUGAGGAGUGUUCUAAGAAGGCAAGCCCCAAAACACAAGCACCUAUCAAGCCUCUGCUGGCUUUGCGUUUACUGAUGUUCUACUGGCCAAAGCAAGUCACAAGGUCAAGCCCAGAAUCGAUGUGACGGGAGAAGGAAAGUGGGAAAUUCCGUGACCACCCUGAGGAGUAAUUCACUGGGGAGCAUUACUUAUCCAUGUGAACUGUUAGGAGACAGGCAGAAAAAAAUAAUAAAGGGAGACAUCAAAAAAGAAGCCACUGAAGACAACUCAUGAAGAUCAAUCUGAAAGGAAAAAUGAGACCUCAAGAGAGGAGAGUUUCUAGAAGGAAAAGAGCAACAAGUCAAAUGUCACAGAGGGAGCAAGAAGGAAAGGAAUGAAAAGUGUUCAUUGGAUUUGGUCUUUGUUAACCUUUUCAGUUUCGAGUGUUGAGGGCAAAAGCUAGAUUGCAGAGGGGUGAGAAAUUUAAUGGGAGCUGAGGAAGUGUAAGCAGUUGGUGUAGACUUCAGACUGUAGUAGUGUAGUCAUGAAAUGAAGAGAGAUGGGAUGGUAGCUAGAGGAGACCUCACAUCAAAGAGAGGGUAGCAGGUUUAAAAAACAAACAAACAAACAAACAAACAAAACAAAACAAAAACAACCAUCAGAAUGAUAAGCAUCCCUGUAGAGUAGGAGACGGGAGCAGGAGGGGAGUGGGCAACCACAUCAGGGAGUGAGGCUCAUGGGGAAGAUGUCAUCAAGCCCUGGGUGGACGACAGGAAAAACACCUGUCUUUCUGGAACCCAAGAAAGGUGGGUAAAAAUGGCAAUAAGUUUGUAGGUUGGGGCAGGGAGAGAUGACAGAAAGUUAAGCAGAUUCAUUUUAUAGUAGCUUCUGUUUUUCUUAUUAAUUCAGUGGCUAAUCAUUUGCUGAGAUCAAAAUGUUCAUGGAUGGUCACGAGAUUUGAGGAAAGAGUUUAAGUUUUGGAAUAGUCCCUACAGGGAAGAAAGAAGCUGCAAAAAGCAAGUAAAAGGACUCUCAUUGAGUCCUGAGAUGAGAUUUAGCAGCUCUAAGCUGUUACGCAACUUUCUGAAGUGACAUUCACCCCUGGAGAAAAGGAAUACAAGUGGUGGAUUGCCAGGUUCACCCCGGGGGGGUCAUUCUCUUUUAUGGAGACCAAGAGGGAUCACUGGCCACAUAGCCAAAGUAGGGUCCCCCAGAGCCAUGCCAGAUCAGCUUGCGUUGUUACCUGGAGCCAUGAAGUAGCCACAAUCACGGUCUUCGUUUAAAUGUAGGACAUG